CCCUUAGAUGCUCUGGGCCGCACGCGCGCUACACUGGUCGAUGCAACGAGUUUCUUUCCUUGGCCGACAGGCCUGGGCAAUCUUUGAACAUCGAUCGUGAUCGGGAUAGAUUCUUGUAAUUUUUGAUCUUAAACGAGGAAUUCCUAGUAAACGCAAGUCAUCAGCUUGCAUUGAUUACGUCCCUGCCCUUUGUACACACCGCCCGUCGCACCUACCGAUUGAAUGGUCCGGUGAAAUCUCCGGACUGGCGUGAGUCGGAGCAAUCUGACAAACACCAGAAAGUUGAUUAAACCUUACCAUUUAGAGGAAGGUGAAGUCGUAACA
rnacentral:rRNA from 1 species